UACGUAGGGUGCAAGCGUUGUCCGGAAUUAUUGGGCGUAAAGAGCUCGUAGGCGGUUUGUCGCGUCUGCUGUGAAAACUCGGGGCUUAACUCCGGGCCUGCAGUGGGUACGGGCAGACUAGAGUGCGGUAGGGGAGACUGGAAUUCCUGGUGUAGCGGUGAAAUGCGCAGAUAUCAGGAGGAACACCGGUGGCGAAGGCGGGUCUCUGGGCCGUAACUGACGCUGAGGGACGAAAGCUAGGGGAGCGAAUGGG
rnacentral:rRNA from 1 species